rnacentral:rRNA from 1 species
GACGAACGCUGGCGGCGUGCUUAACACAUGCAAGUCGAACGGAAAGGCCCUGCUUUUGUGGGGUGCUCGAGUGGCGAACGGGUGAGUAACACGUGAGUAACCUGCCCUUGACUUUGGGAUAACUUCAGGAAACUGGGGCUAAUACCGGAUAGGAGCUCCUGCUGCAUGGUGGGGGUUGGAAAGUUUCGGCGUUUGGGGAUGGACUCGCGGCUUAUCAGCUGGUUGGUGGGGUAGUGGCUUACCAGGGCUUUGACGGGUAGCCGGCCUGAGAGGGUGACCGGCCACGUUGGGACUGCGAUACGGCCCAGACUCCGACGGGCGGCAGCAGUGGGGAAUAUUGCACAAUGGGCGGAAGGCUGAUGCAGCAAAGCCGCGUGCGGGAUAACGGCCUGCGGGUUGUAAACCGCUUUCGCCUGUGACGAAGCGUGAGUGACGGUAAUAGGUAAAGAAGAACCGGCUAACUACGUG